UGCGUCGACCCGAGCAGUUGCGAGAGCGAAUGAAGUUGCGGUUGCACGGACAAGCUUGUGGAGGUGUUAGUAUGCACGCAUGCGUCCCUGAUUUGGAGCAUGCCUCUGGCCUGGUAGGAUUCUCGCUCUGCCCCGACCUCAAGGGCGUUCCUCUAUCUGUGUCGUGCUCGGGACCAUGCACUAAUGCAGGUGCGGUUCUUCAGCUUUUCUUUGUCUUUUUCUUGGUAUGUAUAUCUCUCAAUCUUGUGAGCCGUGAUUUUCAUGCUGCCAUGUAUGCCAUUGUGUCCUGUAUAAUGAUUCUUCUUAUUAUUUUUGAAUGGCAUAAUUAUUCUUAUUGAGGCACUGCCGCUGCCUAAUUUGCUUAUAGAAAUAACAUACUAAUUAAUACAGGGAGAGAGUACGAUUUUUUGACACAAUCUGCAGUACCCGUGAGCCUGCCCAUAGGUAGAUAUGGAUACAUUUUGUAGCUUCCAUUCUUGUUUUCUCUCAUUAAAAUUAUGGAUUUGGAAACUAAUCAUGGAGUGUCUAGAUUGCCUGCUAUAUUACCAAGUGCGCUGAAGGAAAAGCUGCUGCCACUGUUGAUGACCACUCUAGGUGAUAUAAUUCAUGUUUGCUUUGUUGUUUUACUAACUUCCUGUAGCAUAUUGGUUCCAUCUUUUUUUUUUGCAUCAUGGUACAUUAUUCUCAUCUUGAUAUAUAUCAUUUGGUCAACUGAAGAUUUGAGUGCAGGGUAGAAUUCUUGGUUGAUUUUAGAAUUUCGUUGUUGAUUAGUUGGCCAACAGACUUUUAUGAAAUUCAAGGCAUCAUUUAGUGUACUAUAUGUCAUAUUUGUCUUGUUUCUAUACUCACAAUAUUUCCGCAUCAUCUGAACAAAUGAUGCUAAAUUGAUAUAAUCAUUUUGGAUCAGUGUCAUCUUCUCAAUGCUGAACAGCCAAAAUAUAUACAUAGUGAGCAUUCCACCGCACAUGCUCAUACGUCAUAUUUAUGUACUGUUUAACACGGCAAAAAUUGGUCAAACAUUUAAACAUUUCUACUGUUUAACACAACCAAAGUAUAUACAUAAUGAUCAGUCCUUCGCUGCACGUUAGAUCUAGCCUCCCUCCCUUGACACCAUUCUUCUUGCUUAUUAUUAUUUAUUUUAAAAAUAUCUUUAGUUUUAUUUUCUAGCUACUUCAAUUCAUUUGUAUAUGGUUAGUUCCAUCGCACUACCAGGAUGAUCCAUGGCUGGUCGCGGACGAUCACCUGCGAGGACGAUUCAUGGCCGGUUGGGGAUGGUCAGUUCCAUCACACUGCGAGGAGAUGAUUCAUGGCCAGUCGGGGAUGGUCACCUGCGGCCAACCUUAAUACUGGACCUCGAAAGGGGCAUGUGGCCAACCAUGCCGGAGGAUGCAGAGGAGUUGUUUGGGAAUGUUAUCAUCAGAGGACCCAAGAAGCAACCCACCACAGAUGCAUGGACCAACCACGCAAGUCCAUUGUGAGUUUGAUGCUUCUCAUGUGUUCACUGUGGUGCAAUGAAGAUCUGAUGGGCAAUGGUCUCAUGACAUUUCCUUUCUAAAAACUUAAAUUUAUAGCUUGCAAUCCAUCUGUGGCGAGGGUUCAUGACAGACAAGCCAAUAGAUUUAGGGGUCCACACCGUGGGAAGGUUAUGGCCAAG